UACGAAGGGGGCUAGCGUUGCUCGGAAUUACUGGGCGUAAAGGGCGCGUAGGCGGAUAUCUAAGUUGGGGGUGAAAUCCCGGGGCUCAACCUCGGAAUUGCCUUCAAAACUGGAUAUCUUGAGUUCGGGAGAGGUGAGUGGAACUCCGAGUGUAGGGGUGAAAUUCGUAGAUAUUCGGAAGAACACCAGUGGCGAAGGCGACUCACUGGCCCGAUACUGACGCUGAGGCGCGAAAGCUGGGGGAGCAAACGGG
rnacentral:rRNA from 1 species